rnacentral:tRNA from 1 species
GGGGCCGUAGCGCAGAGGUCGUCGCGCACGGGCCCAUCAUCCGUGAGGACGCCGGUUCGAAUCCGGCCGGUCCCG